rnacentral:rRNA from 1 species
GUGCCAGCAGCCGCGGUAAUACAGAGGUGGCGAGCGUUGUUCGGAAUUACUGGGCGUAAAGGGCGCGUAGGCGGUCUUGUAAGUCUUGUGUGAAAUCCCUCGGCUUAACUGAGGAACUGCACGAGAUACUGCGAGACUUGAGUUCGGGAGAGGGAAGCGGAAUUCCGGGUGUAGCGGUGAAAUGCGUAGAUAUCCGGAGGAACACCGGUGGCGAAGGCGGCUUCCUGGACCGACACUGACGCUGAGGCGCGAAAGCUAGGGGAGCAAACGGGAUUAGAUACCCCCGUAGUCC